GAUGAACGCUGGCGGCGUGCCUAAUACAUGCAAGUCGAGCGAACAGACGAGGAGCUUGCUCCUCUGACGUUAGCGGCGGACGGGUGAGUAACACGUGGAUAACCUACCUAUAAGACUGGGAUAACUUCGGGAAACCGGAGCUAAUACCGGAUAAUAUAUUGAACCGCAUGGUUCAAUAGUGAAAGACGGUUUUGCUGUCACUUAUAGAUGGAUCCGCGCCGCAUUAGCUAGUUGGUAAGGUAACGGCUUACCAAGGCAACGAUGCGUAGCCGACCUGAGAGGGUGAUCGGCCACACUGGAACUGAGACACGGCCCAGACCCCUACGGGAGGCAGCAGUGGGGAAUUUUCCGCAAGGGGGGAAAGCCGGAGGGAGCAACCCCGGGGGAGUGAUGAAGGUCUUGGGUUCGAAAACCUCUGUUAUUAGGGAAAAAAAAAGGUGAAAGUAACUAUGCACGUCUUGACGGUACCUAAUCAGAAAGCCCCGGCUAACUACGU
rnacentral:rRNA from 1 species